rnacentral:rRNA from 1 species
AGCGUAGGUGGCUCUAUAAGUCAGAUGUGAAAUCCCCGGGCUCAACCUGGGAACUGCAUCUGAAACUGUAGAGCUAGAGUAUGGAAGAGGUAAGUGGAAUUCCGAGUGUAGAGGUGAAAUUCGUAGAUAUUCGGAGGAACACCAGUGGCGAAGGCGGCUUACUGGUCCAUUACUGACGCUGAGGUGCGAAAGCGUGGGGAGCAAACA